GGCUCAGGAUGAACGCUAGCUACAGGCUUAACACAUGCAAGUCGAGGGGCAGCAUGAAGUCAGCUUGCUGACUUUGAUGGCGACCGGCGCACGGGUGAGUAACGCGUAUCCAACCUUCCCCUUACUCAGGAAUAGCCCGUUGAAAGACGGAUUAAUGCCUGAUGUUCUCUAUUUCCGGCAUCGGUAAUAGAGCAAAGAUUCAUCGGUACGGGAUGGGGAUGCGUAUGAUUAGCUUGUUGGCGGGGUAACGGCCCACCAAGGCAACGAUCAUUAGGGGUUCUGAGAGGAAGGUCCCCCACACUGGAACUGAGACACGGACCAGACUCCUACGGGAGGCAGCAGUGAGGAAUAUUGGUCAAUGGGCGAGAGCCUGAACCAGCCAAGUCGCGUGAGGGACGACGGUCCUAUGGAUUGUAAACCUCUUUUGUCGGGGAGCAACGAGACCACGCGUGGUCGAAGGGAGAGUACCCGAAGAAAAAGCAUCGGCUAACUCCGUG
rnacentral:rRNA from 1 species